ACGCUCGACACCUACGGGAGGCAGCAGUGGGGAAUAUUGCACAAUGGGGGAAACCCUGAUGCAGCGACGCCGCGUGGAGGAAGAAGGUCUUCGGAUUGUAAACUCCUGUUGUUGGGGAAAAAGAGGAUGGUACCCAACAAGGAAGUGACGGCUAACUACGUGCCAGAAGCCGCGGUAAUCUGAGCGGGCUGGCAAGGC
rnacentral:rRNA from 1 species